rnacentral:rRNA from 1 species
AGACGGAGGGUGCUAGCGUUGUUCGGAAUCAUUGGGCGUAAAGGGCGUGUAGGCGGCUCGUUAAGUCAUGCGUGAAAGCCCUCGGCUUAACCGAGGAAGUGCGUAUGAUACUGGCGAGCUAGAGUUCGGAAGAGGGGGGUGGAAUUCCAGGUGUAGCGGUGAAAUGCGUAGAUAUCUGGAGGAACACCGGUGGCGAAGGCGACCCCCUGGUCCGACACUGACGCUGAGACGCGAAAGCGUGGGUAGCAAACAGGAUUAGAAACCCCGGUAGUCC